UGAAUACAGAAAGAAGUUAUAAUUCAACAUCUCUAUUUAGGAAGAAACCCACCAAUAUUCACAUAAAUAAGGGUUCUUCGUGAAUCUGCAGGAGAUAAUCACUUGGAAGAGCAUAGCAGUAAGAGGUCCGAGAUUUCUAGGAAAUCUUCAUCUAGCAUCAGACCGUCAAAUACUUUAUUUGCCAUAAAUUUUGAUCCAUACAGUAUUAGAGCAUAGCAGUAAGAGGUCCGAGAUUUCUAGGAAAUCUUCAUCUAGCAUCAGACCGUCAAAUACUUUAUUUGCCAUAAAUUUUGAUCCAUACAGUAUUAGAGGCACAUUGAUCCUUAUGGGAAAAUACCCAAUAUAAGAAUUAGAAGAAAUUAAGUGUUUGUUCAAUACGAAGCUCAGGAAGAUGCUAAUAGAGCCUUGGAUGCAACUAACAUGAGGUACAUGCUUUCCUCUGAAUUGGAUGCAUUGUCUACAAUUUUUGAAUCCUCACCUUGGUAUUCUUAACCCAAAAAAAUAUAUCACUGGAAGGCAUCCCAACUCAGGAAAAAAGAUGAGGGAGCAGCGACUCUUGAAAAAGGGACGGAUUUGGAGAACAAAUCAGAGAAGCAAAGGCGUUAUUGAACCUUUACCGAAGUAAAUCAAAGAAAGAAAAAAUGUAAAAGUCCAAGAAAAAUGCGAUGUCUUGGUUAAAAGUUGAUAAACUUUCAAUUGCAAAUAAGGGUCUUUAUUCAUGUGGAAAAAGAUAUUUCUAUCUAGAUCGUCUAAUGUAAACUGGAAGUCUGGAACAUACUGUUCUUCUUUCCAGUCAAUUCUUAAGACCGACAUAAGCUUUCAUUUUUUGGAUUAGAUUUUGUCACAUUGAUAAUUGUGUUUCAGGUCUUCUCAAUGUUAACAUGACUUUUUUUACAGUUAGAUAUGACCAUGUUAU